CCCGCGUGAACCAGUUCAGUGUCGUUCUCGCCAGAGGCCACCAGAGUGCGCAAGAGACCGCGGGGGUGGAAAAGGCCACUCGCCCGAGAUUGCGCGCGGAAGUGGACCUCCUUUCUCGCAGCGGGGUAGUGGCUCCGGGAUCCCCCAGAACUGCUAGUCGUGUGAAGCCGUGGGAGUGGGGAAGGCUGACUUCCAUCUUAACGGCUUACUCUGGAACAUAAUAUUGAGUGAAGGCUGUCAGGAGACAAAAAGAAGCUGGGAAUAAAGACAAGAUUAUAGCAGCAGAAACAGUGCCAGCUGGGACUAAGCAGAGGGAAACUGUCAGCCUUCUUAGAUCCUGCAGGACUGGAUCAUAGAGCUGUGAACAUGCACUAUUCCUCAAAACAAGAGAAGAAAGAACCCAAAAAUGAUUCGAAGAUCAUCAGGCCACCACUCCCACCAUAGGACAAGAAUGCCUAACUUGGGGAACAGGGCUGCCUCCGCCUCAGUUUCAAAGAGAAGAACCAAUGCCCAAUGGAGCCAUGGGCGCAGGGCCACCUGAAGCAGCAGAGGCAUAGCACUAUUCAGCAGAGCCACUGAGGUACAACUCCAGCCUGGCAGAGCCAUGGGUGUGUGGCCUUCACCAGAGACAGCCACACAGGCGGGACUGCUACCCCAGUGGGUUCCAGAAGGCAGAGCAUUGAGCCAAAGUAGCUCAUCAAGCCUUAACAUCUUACGAAUUUUGCCUUGAUAGGUUUGGGACUUUCUUGGGACUCCAUCAUCCCUUUCUUCUUUCCUAUUUCUCCUUUUUGGGAUGCGAAUAUUUAUCCUAUCCCUUUCCCACAGUUUUAUUUUGGAAACACAUAACUAAUUUGGUUUCACAGGUUCACAGCUGGAGAGGAAUUUUGCCUCAUGCUGAAUCUUACGUCUAUUCUUAUUCAUGUCUCAUUUAGAUGAGACUUUGGACUUUGAACUUUAGAGUUCAGACUGCAAUGAGUUAAGACUUUUGAGGCUGUUGAUUUGGAAUGAAUGUAUUUUGCAUAUGAGAUGGACAGGAGUUUUGGGGGUCCAGUGGCAGAAUGCUAUAGACUGAAUUGUUGUGUCCCGACAAAUUCAUAUGUUGAAAUUCUAACCUCCAGUGUGAUUAUAUUAAGAGGUAGGGACCUUUGGGAGGUAAUUAGGUCAUGAGGGUGGCACCCUCAUGAAUGGCAUUAAUGCCCUUAUAAGAAAAGACAUGAAGGCUUGAUCUUACUCUCUCUCUCUGUCUUCCCACCAUGUGAGAAUGCAACAGCGAGACGGCCAUCUAUAAACCAGGAAGAGUGCCCUCAUCAGACAAUGGAUUUGCUGGCAUUUUGAUAUUGGAAUUCCCAGGCCCCAGAACUGUGAGAAAUAAAUUUAUCUCAUUUAAGCCAUCCAGUCUGUGGUACUUUGUUAUAGCAGCCAAAACUAAGGUGGGUAUAAAUCUAAAAACUAUGUACAAGA